CACUGGGAACUUUCUUGUAGUUCUCACACCACUAACCAUACAGGUUCCAGUGCGAGUAUUGUGGCCGAGGAUCGAGGCAAGAGCCAGCAGCCUAGCUAGUGGACACCCGAGUACUAGUGGUAUACCAUUUGGGUUCAUGUAUCAUCUAUUUCGAUGUACAGAGACAUGUAAAUGAAUGUAUUAUAAAGCAUGUAAAUAGCUAAAUGUUUCAGUUAUACAGUUCAGUUUGAAAGUUUUAAGUUACAGUGAAUUUCAUUAUACAGUUAGUUUACUAUCAC
rnacentral:lncRNA from 1 species